UGAGGCAGGAGGAUUUUAAAUUCUAGUUCAGCCUGAGCAACUUAGCAACUUAUUGAGACCCUGUCUCAAAAUAACAAGUACUAAAAAGAACAGGGAUGUAUCCCUGGAUUCAAUCCCUAGUACUGAAAAAAAAAAAAAAAAGGAAGCAAGGAAGCUGAUCAUACUAUGCCCCAUCCAUGUAGUGGACCCUAAUUUGUCAAUUUAAAUCAGGUAUUUUUAAAACUACUUGAUAAAAGUUAAACUUUUAAAAGUAGGACACAAGACUAUAUAGGAUUGUAUAAAGAAAAAUAUACAUUAAUAGAAAAGAUAUAUACAGAAAUAUUUACAGUGAUUCUUUUUAAAAUAUUUAUAUUGAAUACUGGGAUAUCUCAUUUUAAUUUUAGAUAUUUAUCUUUUCCAGACUUUCUACAGUGAACAUGUAUUACUUUUAUGGCCAGAAAUAAAACAUGGGUUUGUUGCAUGUUUGUUUUAAUUGUGCCAUUUAGUAUGUUAUUUUGAAAUAACGUCUUUAUAAGUACAAAAAUAAUGUCAUUGCCUAAAAUGUCAGAAAUUAGACAAUUAUAAAAAGAAAAUCAUUGAUAAUCGUAUCAUUGUUAACACUUUCUUGCUAUAUUACAAAAAUAAGCAUAUUAUAUAUAAAGUAUAAUCAAAGAUACGGAGAAUGUUUAACAAUUUUAAAAUUUAUUAGAGUAAAGGGCACAUAACCAUUAAUCCCCCUGAAAAUACCCCUGUCACUUGGAAUACACCUAUCCCAUCAUUCUUUCCCCUUUCCGCUGCAGUUUUGGAAGUCCUCUUUUUGUGUCUUUACAAAGCGUGAUCAAAACUACAGCGAAUGCUGCUGCUGAGCGCCAUCCAAUGGAAAGGCAGGCUCUUAACAGCAUCACGUACUAUGUCCUCAUCCACUUUAUUCACUGGUUCUGACACUGAUUUCUGGCUGUUCCCCAAAGUCAAAAUGACCAUGAUAUGUGAACAUGUUGAAUUGACUGAGGACAUAGGAGCAGCCAUCACAGCACAACUGAAGUCCUUCACAAAAAAGGGCCUUCAGAACUGCAUCAGAAAGUGGUAAAAGUGAUAGGAUAAGUAUACUCAAAGCAAGGCAGAAUACUCUGAGGCAAUUUAAUGGCAAUGUGUCUUUCACUGUAAUAAAUUGUUUAAAAGAUUUAGGUUUUUAAUUUGCGGUGAUGGAGGUGGAACUCAGGGCUCUGCACAUUCUAAGUGUGCUUUCUGUCACUGAGCUGCAUCCGGAACCUCUGUCCUACUAUUUCAUAAAGAGAGAUUUGAAAAGCAGAAUUUGUGAGCCAAAGGGUAUUUUUAGAAUUGGUAUUUGGGACCAAGUUGCCCUCCAGAAAGUACAUUAAUGUAGAUCCCUGCCAUCCAUGGAUCCCAGGGCUCAUUUUCCAUAUCUCUAUCAGCACUGGGAUAAUAAAUACAAUCAAAGUAAAUACAUAAUCUAUAAAAAGUGACACACUUUUGAUCAAUGUUUGCCAAUGUGAUACGUUAAAAAAAAAGAGAAGUCAUUGUUUUAACUUGCAUCACUUUGAUGAUCAGUGAGGUUCAAGAGUGUUUCACUUGUUUAUUUGCAUUUGACAGGCAGUUUGAGUUUCUUCUGGGCGGUGCCUGUAUCUGCCCUCCACUUGCUGUGGGGUGUGAAUCUUCCUCCUACUACGGGGUACGAACCGCUUACACGGAAUGACACACCUGGGUAUUGUCGCUGUGACUCCCAGUGUUUUUGGAGUUGCCUGAUUAGCUUAUACCUCCGUGACAAAAUACACAGUAGUUAUGGAUUCUGCUUUUGGUGUUCUGUUUUAGAAAAGCCCUUUCAUUCAAGGUUAUGUGUGCAUUUGGACACAUUUCCUCCCACAUCACAUAGUCACACACAUUGUUUACGUCCUGAGACUGUUGUGGUUUAAUGUUUUCUUCAGCCUGUUUAAUAGAGUGGGAAUUUAAUCAGGCAUACGCGGUUCCAACCCAUGUCUAAGUCAAGAGCAGGCAGAGCCUGGUUGCCAGCCCUCCCCUCUUGGCACCUGGCCUAGAAUGUGUGGGACCUUUGUACUGUCUCCGCCUUCAGAAAGGGAAGAGUCCUCUGCCACCCCGAGGCUGAGCCUCAUGCACAAUCUUUGCCAGAAUUAUUUGCUCAUUACCAGAGAACCCAAAGUACACACCAGGCCAGAAGGUUCACUGGGUAGACAAGCCAUUAUGAGCCAAGGAUCUCCGUGCUUCUCCAGCUACCUGGGUCACAUCUCUUCCCACAAUCAGAAGUGAUUUAUUAUUAAUUCUGUCAAAGUGCACCGGAUCGAUCGCAGGGCACAUCGCUUCGCCCAGUCCCCACAGUAAACAUUGUUACCUGAGCUCUCGGACAAGGAGCUGUGAGGGGGCGAAGAGGACUACUGCAGUGAUGCCUUCUGCAUGCUGCAGAGAAUGGGCCGAGGCGCAUUCUACCUUAUGAACGGUCUUGUCACCUGGGAAACUGUAGGUGUCCAGUUGAAGGAGCUGUGUUGGGCCCUGCAAAAUGUCAGUGCUGACUGUGGAGCCAAGGCCAAGCACCCCAGAGGUGAGGAUCAGAAAAGUCUCUGCAGGUGUGGUCCCCAAGGGAACCUGGGCUGUCCCUCCUUGCUCAUGUAUCACUGAGUCCCCCAAACCACCCACAGUUCCCAAGUGUGCACCGUCUUGGGGAUUCUAUUCCCUGAAAUUGCCCUGCUCCUGGCUACCAACGCAGUUCAUCUACUCAUUCAUUCAACAGGGAUUUAUUGAGCACCUAUGGCAUGCCUGGUACUGUUCUGGGCUUACACAGUGGUGAGGGCCUACCUUCCUGGAGCUCAUAUCUCAAUGGGCAUCAGCAUGGGGCCAAGUGAAUGGACAUGGCAGGAAGGCGAGUGACUUUGUACCAACACAUGCUCCCACCACAAUGUGCUGCCUCACCACAGGCCCCAAAGUAACGGGUCCAACUACUCAUAGGCUGGGACCUCCAAAACUAUCUGCACUGGGAAGGCCUAAAGGCCAGCGGUGGAAGCUAAAGUCUGUACCAUCAGCGUGAAGGAUCUGUGCCAGCAGGCUGAGGGAUCUGCACUGGAGCCAGGAAGUGAUGCUCAAGGUUCUGCUGCGGAGGCAUAACUAAGUAAUUGACCCCAGGACACACGGCUGAAAGGUGGAGAGCCAGAAUCUGAACCCAGGUAGCCUGAAGCCAGAACUCUGGAAACCAGAAGCCUGGUUCCUGAAGGGCCACACGCCUCAGACAGAAAAGUCACAGUCCCUGCCAGGAGAGAGGGUGUCAGCACAGAAAACAGAACCCAGAGCUGCAGCCUGAGAGGGGUGAGCAGAGGGCGUGGGCCUGAGUGCUCGGCAGUCUGGGGUGCCUGUCGAGGGGCAGGGUGAGGUCAGAGGGGCGCGGGACCUCUCCAAAUCUCCAUUUUGUCUUACGGGAAAGGGGGACCGAGGGUGCUGCCUGGCAAGGUGCUGCCAGGCGGAAGCCCAAGCCAGAGCUUGCCUGACGGAGUGGGCAAGCUGCGCCGGAGACAGGAGUCACUGAGGCCGCGCUGGAGAGGCCUGUGCCCGGGACCUGCCAGGGCUGCCAGGCAGGAGUAGCCACUGAGGGGGACACCAGUGAAGGACAUGGAGCUUUGUUAACAGCUCCUGGGGGACACUGGCCGCUUGGGAGGCAGAGCAUUCAGGCCCCAAAUGCACCGACCGUGCUGGGAGCUGGGCAGCUGUGUGGCCGUCACUUGUUUUGGCCUCUCUGAGCCUCAGUUUCCUUACCUGAAGAUUGGAGAAGAAAAACGCUGGCUCCCUUAGGACCCCCACCCCACCCCAAGUCCAAGGGAGGCUGGCUUGGUGUGACUGCGGAGCCGUCUGCCUGCCCAGGGACCCAUCACGCAGCUGGCUGUGGGAGUCUUUUGUCUUCCCUGAUCAUUUGUGUCACUCUGAGGAUGGCCUUUUGUUUCGUUUUUAAGUGUAAAUUUGAAGUGAUUUCUAUUUACUUCCAAGAAGCUCAAUAAACUUCUUUCCUCUUAA